rnacentral:rRNA from 1 species
AAAGCCCGCAAGGGUGAGUAAAGUGGCGUACGGGUGAGUAACACGUGGAUGAUCUACCUCUUAGUGGGGAAUAACCCUGGGAAACCGGGGCUAAUACCGCAUAAUCUCGAGAGAGGAAAGCAGCAAUGCGCUGAGAGAGGAGUCCGCGGCCGAUUAGCUAGUUGGCAGGGUAAAAGCCUACCAAGGCAAAGAUCGGUAGCCGGCCUGAGAGGGCACACGGCCACACUGGCACUGAGACACGGGCCAGACUCCUACGGGAGGCAGCAGUGGGGAAUCUUGCACAAUGGGGGAAACCCUGAUGCAGCGACGCCGCGUGAGCGAUGAAGCCCUUCGGGGUGUAAAGCUCUUUCGGCAGGGAAGAUUAUGACGGUACCUGCAGAAGCAGCUGCGGCUAACUACGUGCCAGCAGCCGCGGUAAUACGUAGGCAGCAAGCGUUGUUCGGAGUUACUGGGCGUAAAGGGUGUGUAGGCGGUUGCUUAAGUUUGGUGUGAAAUCUCCCGGCUCAACUGGGAUGGUGCGCCGAAUACUGAGUGACUCGAGUGCGGGAGAGGAAAGUGGAAUUCCUGGUGUAGCGGUGAAAUGCGUAGAUAUCAGGAGGAACACCGGUGGUGUAGACGGCUUUCUGGACCGUAACUGACGCUGAAACACGAAAGCGUGGGUAGCAAACAGGAUUAGAUACCCUGGUAGUCCACGCCCUAAACGAUGCAUAUUUGGUGUGGGUCAUUCAGUUGAUCCGUGCCGGAGCUAACGCGUUAAAUAUGCCGCCUGGGGAGUACAGUCGCAAGGCUG